GAAAAAAUUCAUCCAAUAUGCCUGUCUGACACUGCACACUGUCAGAAUACACAGGCAGCCUUAAAAUGUUAUGCAGAAGCAUGACUUUACAGCUAUUCUAUUCUAUCAUUUUUAAAUAUACAAGAAGAAGAAUUUAGUUGUGAAUAUUAAUUUAGAUGAAAAUGAUUUAAGUAUAUCAAAAGAACAUUAAUAUCAAUGUAUCAUGUAACAAGAUGAACGAGAUAAAAUAAAUCAAAUGAAUUUUAAUUAAUAAAUAAUGAAGAAAAACUUUUCAUUUAAUGUAAUCAUAAAUUGCCCAUGACCAAUUAUUUUAUCUUUUAGAUUAUUUGAAUUAACAAGAACAAUUUUUUUACUUAUAAUUUUAAAUAUAAUUAA